UACGUAGGGGGCGAGCGUUGUCCGGAUUUACUGGGCGUAAAGAGCGCGCAGGCGGUCGGAUAAGUCGAAUGUGAAAGCCCCCGGCUCAACUGGGGAGGGUCACGCGAUACUGAUCGACUCGAAGGCAGGAGAGGGAAGUGGAAUUCCCGGUGUAGUGGUGAAAUGCGUAGAUAUCGGGAGGAACACCAGUGGCGAAGGCGACUUCCUGGCCUGUUCUUGACGCUGAGGCGCGAAAGCUAGGGGAGCAAACGGG
rnacentral:rRNA from 1 species